AUUGAACGCUGGCGGCAUGCCUUACACAUGCAAGUCGAACGGCAGCACGGGGCAACCUGGUGGCGAGUGGCGAACGGGUGAGUAAUGCAUCGGAACGUACCCGGAAGUGGGGGAUAACGUAGCGAAAGUUACGCUAAUACCGCAUAUUCUGUGCGCAGGAAAGAGGGGGAUCUUCGGACCUCUUGCUUUCGGAGCGGCCGAUGUCCGAUUAGCUAGUUGGUGAGGUAAAGGCUCACCAAGGCGACGAUCUGUAGCGGGUCUGAGAGGAUGAUCCGCCACACUGGGACUGAGACACGGCCCAGACUCCUACGGGAGGCAGCAGUGGGGAAUUUUGGACAAUGGGCGCAAGCCUGAUCCAGCCAUGCCGCGUGAGUGAAGAAGGCCUUCGGGUUGUAAAGCUCUUUCGGCCGGGAAGAAAUCGCGUGAGUUAAUACCUUGCGUGGAUGACGGUACCGGAAUAAGAAGCACCGGCUAACUACGUGCCAGCCGCCGCAGUAACAC
rnacentral:rRNA from 1 species